AUGCAAUAUGGGCUCAUGGUCACUCACAGUGCUAUCGUCCAUGUUGAAGUCAACAUUGCCUUUUACAGGAGUAUGACCAUCGCCUUCCUAAUUGCCAUUAGUUUUGUCACCCGCAAGAACCAUCGUCAACUCGUGUGGAUUUUUUGGAGUGCUUGUAUCGCUCUUAUAAUAUUUAAAAAGAGAUCAUCACAAUUGUUUUAUCUCCUCAUCUGCCUCCUUCUUCCUUUCUUUGUAGCCGAACUCGACAUGACCCUUGCUGAAAUUAAAAGGAACAAAUUAGCUUAUAGAAUUAGCGCAAAGCUAAUUAAAAUAUUAGAUCUAAUAUAG
rnacentral:rRNA from 1 species